rnacentral:rRNA from 1 species
GACGAACGCUGGCGGCGUGCUUAACACAUGCAAGUCGAACGGAAAGGCCCUGCUUUUGUGGGGUGCUCGAGUGGCGAACGGGUGAGUAACACGUGAGUAACCUGCCCUUGACUUUUGGAUAACUUCAGGAAACUGUGGUUACUACCGGAUAGGAUCUCCUGCUGCAUGGUGGGGGUUGGAUAGUUUCGGCGGUUGGGGAUGGACUCGCGGCUUAUCUGCUUGUUGGUGGGGUAGUGGCUUACCAAGGCUUUGACGGGUAGCCGGCCUGAGAGGGUGACCGGCCACAUUGGGACUGAGAUACGGCCCAGACUCCUACGGGAGGAAGAGGUGGGGAGAAUUGCAAAAGGGGCGGAAGCCGGAUGCAGAAACGCCGGGGGCGGGAUGACGGCCUUCGGGUUGAAAACCGCUUUCGCCUGUGACGAAGCGGGAGUGACGGUAAUGGGUAAAGAAGCACCGGCUAACUACGUG